rnacentral:rRNA from 1 species
AUGAUUAAGGACAUCUCAAUUAUCUCUUGGAAUGUACGCGGUCUAGGUAGACACAAAAAAUGUACUGACGUCAAAGCCGCUAUUUCUUCCUCUGCGUGCUCCGUGUUGUGUUUGCAAGAAUCAAAACUCCUAGAUAUAUCUCAAUUUAAGGCUAUCUCUUUUCUACCACCCAACCUUAGAUCCUUCCAUUCCAUCCCCGCCAAUGGAUCAGCGGGAGGAAUUAUCACUGCUUGGGACGACAAUCUUCUGUCUUGCUCCAAGGUGGUGGACGACCCCUUUUCCUUAACCUGCUGGUUUGACUCAUGGGCCGACGAUCUCUCCUUUGUGGUCACAAAUGUGUAUGGGCCUUGCGACCAUGCUUUAAAACCCUUGUUCCUGCAGUCGCUCGUUGAUCUAAAACAUGACAUCUCCUAUCCUUGGACGAUCAUUGGGGACUUCAACAUCACUCUCAAGCCGUCGGACAAAUUCUCCUCCCACUUCAACAUGAGCGAAGCGCAUCUCUUCUCCUCAACCAUAAACACUUUUCAGCUUCAGCCCCCCCCCCCUGUUCUUGAUUGCCGCUUCACCUGGUCGAACCAGCAGGAGGUGCCCAUCCUCAUUUGGUUGGAUAGGGCGCUUACAAACGAUCCUUGGACAUAUUUUCCAGAUACUUCACUCUCCUCUAUAACUCGUACAACCUCAGACCAUGUUCCUAUUCGCCUUUCUGCCAAGACAUCUAUUCCCAAAUCUUCAGUUUUUCGCUUAGAUCGAUCACUCCUAAACAUCCCCCUCUUUAAAGAGAGGGUGGCUACAAACUGGGCAAGCGUGGGUUCCCGACAUGCCCACCUUGGCGCCGCGGGGAUUCUCUCCCUUAAGUUAAAAUGCACUAGAAACAUGGCAAAGAAGUGGUUGUCAAACCGUCACUCUCCAAAAACCCUAGCUCUGAAUUGCCAUGCUACUAUCACUUUCUAG